ensembl:lncRNA
UGAAGUCAGAAUUUCUCCCAUACAACUGAUUCUAUACUCCAUCCCAACACAUCAUUCUAUACCUCAAUUUCCAUAAAGAAAACUCAUACAAAUGUAAAUGUAGAACUGUCAGCAUAAACUUGAACUAAUUUCAAGCACUCUUUCACCUAAUAUCAAUACAUCUUCAGGUUUGUGCAUCAAAUCUCAAUAUCUACUGUCCACUACUCUCAAAAGGUGAGCAUACAGAUGUCUACAUUAGUUGCACAAUGGUUCAGUUGUUUAAACACUGUUUAUCAAGCAGGUAAUGUUCCAUGAAUGUUUUUUCAGAUUUCUGCAAUAUGCUACACUUCAAACUUCCCUCUCCAUUAUAUGAUUCUCCGCUCCAGAUCUGUUUUUAUAAAACGGCACAAAACCGAUAAGAAGGUAAAUUCCAUUGCAUUAUGUCUGCAAAACUUGAAUUGACUGAUUUCUUCAAGCACUCCACCUGUUAUGCGGAUUGAGCGUAACUGUUUAGUAGCGGGUGAUGCAUUCGAAGCGAUGGCUCUUGCAAUGAUAAAACCUUAUAUGUUUGAGCACAUCUGCGUGGCAUUGUAAUUUUCCUGUACACAGACCCACUCGCUGUCCGUCGACUGAACACUUGUGAGGCGCGCAGCGCGACAACGAUACGAAAUGAGCGUAGUUGUCUUGUGCUGGAGGCGGUCAUAUGCAAAUGGUUGGAACGUCACUUCGCACCGUGACGUCACUUCUUACCAUGGAUCCAGAACGAGCUGUAUUUAGAGCUUGAUUAAAUAAAUGGCUCGUUUAUAAUGGGGAGGACGUCUUAAGCUAUGAAACUUGCAGGAUGUUUUAAUGGUACAAAGACCUCUUAUAUUCCAAAAGAUCAAGGCAAAUUUGGUUUCUCAUUUCAUGACCCCUUUAAUACCUUUUCAGGUUUGUGCAUCAAAACCCAAUAUCUACUGUCCAAUCUACUCUCAAAACAUUUCUGCAAUAUGCUACAUGUGAAACUUCCUUGUCCGAUAUUUCAUUCUCUAUGCCAUGAACUGUUUUUAUGAAGAGGCACAUAACCGAUAAAAAGGUAAAUUGAAUUAAUAUAAUAUCUAACAAAUCAGUCAGUUCAAAUUUUGCAAAGCACUUAACCUGUUAAUGCAAUUUCAGGUUUGUGCAUCAAAACCCAAUAUCUACGGUCCACGACUAUCAAAAGGUGAGUGUAUAGAUGUCUACAUUAGUUGCACAAUGUUUUAGUUGUGUAAACACUGUUUAUCAAGCAGUUAAUGUUCCUUCAACGUAUAUUUUCAGAUUUCUGCAAUACGCUACACUUCAAACUUCCCUCUCCAUUAUAUGAUUCUAAGCUUCAUGAUCUGUUUCUAUGAAGCGGCACAAAACCGAUAAAAAGGUAAACUGAAUUAAUAUAAUAUCUGCAAAAUUUGAACCAAUUUGUUCAAGCACUUAUUACAAUUUCAGGUUUGUGCAUCAAAUCUCAACAACUACUGUCCACUACUCUAAGGUAAGUGUGCAGAUGUCUACAUUAUUUGCUAAAUGUUUUAGAUGUGCAAACACUUUAUCAAGGAGUUAAUGUUCCAUGAAUAUAUUUUCAGAUUUCUGCAAUGCGCUACAUGUGAAACUUCCUCCUCCAUUACAUGGUUCUCUGUGCCAUGAACCGUUUUUAUGAAGAGGCACACAACCGAUUAAAAAGGUACAAUUAACUGCAUGUCUGCAAAGAUUGAACUGACUUUCUCGAAGCACUGUUUCACCUGUUAAUAUAUUUUCAGGUUUGUGCAUUAAAGCUCAAUCUCUAUGGUCCACUACUCUUAAAAGGUGAGUGUACAUAUUUUGCAACUAAGAGACAUACCAUGUUUUAGUUGUGUAAACAUUAAUCAGGCAGUUAAUUUUCUAUGAAUGUAUUUUCAGAUUUCUGCAAUGUGCUACAUGUGAAACUUCCUCAUCCUAUAGUUGAUUCUCUAUGCCAUGAACUUUUAUGAAGAGGCACACAACCAAUAAAAAGGUACAUUUUAAUUGAUAUCUGCA